GAUGAAGAACGCAGCGAAAUGCGAUACGUAAUGUGAAUUGCAGAAUUCAGUGAAUCAUCGAGUCUUUGAACGCACAUUGCGCCCCCUGGUAUUCCGGGGGGCAUGCCUGUCCGAGCGUCAUUGCUGCCCUCAAGCACGGCUUGUGUGUUGGGCCUCCGUCCUCCUCCCGGGGGACGGGCCCGAAAGGCAGCGGCGGCACCGCGUCCGGUCCUCGAGCGUAUGGGGCUUCGUCACCCGCUCUUGUAGGCCCGGCCGGCGCUUGCCGACACAUCAAUCUUUUUUCAGGUUGACCUCGGAUCAGGUAGGGAUACCCGCUGAACUUAAGCAUAUCAAUAAGCGGAGGA
rnacentral:misc_RNA from 1 species